rnacentral:lncRNA from 7 species
UUCAGACCAGGAGGUACGGGGUAAAGAGAGAUUUGCUUUAAUAACGAGCAGGUGCUUAGAAUUAAUGCAGGGAAGGAAAAGCCUGUGAAGGGACCUGAGCGAGCCCGAAUCCAGGUCAAGCCUGAGGAGACGUCCAGCCAUGUACCACACAGGUUGUUGUUCUCAUGAAUCUGGUCACAGCAGCAAGAAAAACUACUGUCCCUCCUGUGUCUUCUCAGCCACCAGGGCAGCUACAGCCACCCUGCUAAGAGUGUUUCUUCAGUGCAUCAAAGGCUGCAGGAGCAAGCUCCCUGCUCACUCAGAAUGAACAGUCUUCAUCCUCUUGCCCCUUCCCUCUCCCUGCCUCACCUCUCCCUUGAGUUCACUCAGCUCCAGCCAAAUGGCCUCCUCCUUCCACAGGGCCAAGCUCACC